UUGGUGAUGGCAUGGAUGCCCCUGGAGGUGGUGGCGGUGCCGCCCUGCUCACGUGGACAUGCCUCAUUGAUCUGUGAGACUAAUGUAAUGACACCAGCUGACCUCCCAUCACCUGUAUGGAUGGCGGGCGUGAUUGGUGUUGCUGCCAACUCUGCUACAUCGCUGGCUAUGAGACAUGCAGCACCACUGUACAGCGGGAAUUCCCAACACAGCCGCACCCAAUCCACAUUGUUGGAGGAGCAGGACUAUAAGUUUUGUCGCAGCAUGCCGUCGUCACUGGAUUGCAAGGUGUAUGUGGGGGAUCUUGGGUCAGGGGCAUCUAAACAGGAGCUGGAGGAAGCUUUCUCCUACUAUGGACCCCUGAGAAAUGUUUGGGUGGCCCGCAAUCCCCCUGGCUUUGCUUUUGUUGAGUUUGAAGAUGUUCGUGAUGCAGAAGAUGCUGUGCGUGGUCUUGACGGCAGGACAAUAUGCGGCCGACGUGUCCGUGUAGAGCUGUCAACAGGCAAGUCCCGCAACAGAUUCAGGGGCCCGCCACCUCGCCGUGGACGACCCUUCCAUCCAGAGGAUCGCUGCUAUGAGUGUGGAGAGCGUGGCCAUUAUGCUAGAGACUGUUAUAGGUACAGCCGGCGGUACUCAAGAUACUCCAGGUCGAGAAGUAGGAGCCGAAGCCCACGCCGCCGAAGAUCCUACACCCGCUCUCGGUCCCGCUCACGAAGCAGGACCAGGGACCGCUCACACUCCAGGGAUCGAAGUCGGUCUCGGGACAGGUCCAGGUCCCGCUCCCGCUCCAGGUAUCGCAGCCGUAGUCGCACUCGGGAGAGGUCAAGAACACCUUCAAGAGACCGAGACCGUGAGAGAGAACGCUCACGUAGUCCAGAGGACAGAGGAAAUGGGCAAUAGAUGGCGGCGCCACUGCGGCAGGCGGUUGUAAACAAGUCUAGCCAACACUGUAUUGUCCGGUAUCAUGACCGGAGCAGGUCCAGGACACCCAUGGAGAAUGGUAGCCCUAAGAAGGAUGAAGACACCAAUGAGUGAUCUAUGCAACAUCCUAAAAGUUUUCACACUGUAUCACAUUAAUUUUGUACUUUCCAUAAAUGUUUGAUUCAUUUGUAGUGUGUAGUGAUGUGUAUCCAAGUGCAGUAAAAUAAUCACCAUGUGGGUGUGUAAGCAUCACCUACUGAUAAGGAAAAAGAAAUUUUUGAUUCAUUAUAUUAGUACUUGGUUUACUGAGGAAAUUGUAUGGGUUUUUGAUUUAAUAAACUUGUACUGAUA